GCCCGGCUAGCUCAAUCGGUAGAGCGUGAGACUCUUACCUGGAGAAAUCCACAUCAUCUCAAGGUUGUGGGUUCGACCCCCACGUCGGGCU